AAGAUCGCGCGUCUAAAGAGUAGAUUUUGUUAUCUUUCAACAAGCACUCAUUGUCAGCAUAUCAUAUUCCAUAAUCUCUCAUACUUCAUUCAACUGCGAAGUCUGUUCAGCAAGUGUUUAUUGAACUGGUUAGACAUAAACCCGCACUGCUGCUUGCUGGUUUUAUCGACAAGAAAAAAAGCAGCAGACAGAGAUACGGUAAUCCCAAAAACGUUUUGCACAGUUCAUUGCAGUCUUUACGCCUUUACAUAAAAAGACCGUUAUUUGUGGUUAAAUGUUUAUCUAAAUACUCCGUGGUACAGUACACGAUCUGCAUUAUGCGUCUUGGGAGAAAAUUGUCCGUAUGACUAAUGAGCAUGCCGAGUCGCCGACAGACUGCGAGAACGCAGUGUUUCAUCGAUUUGUAUGUUGCCGGCUGGAUGGUGUGCUUGCAUGAUGCAGUAUGCACAUGUACGGAGACUACGGCCCGUGCCAACGGUACCGGUAUCCAGUAGCCUGACACUGCAAUGUUGUGCAGAAAACGCGCUGCCGAAAGACCCAGUGUACAAGUGUUGACAGUGAGUCAACGUUUAACGAAAGCUUAACGAGCUUUUGGCAAUAGCUGGUUUCCGGAGAAGGGAUUUUGUUUUCUUUGGAAAUGACUUCCUACACUCCGGUAACUCCUUCCGUGGAGCAGAUUGCCUUGUAUAAUUCUCGUCCUUUAAGGAUAUUUGGGAUCUUGGAGCUUGCCGCAGGUGUAGGAAUGAUCAUUUGCCAUAGCAUCGCUAACGGGCUUGGCAUCACCGUAACGUUCGGACUGGGUUUCUACUUGGGCUGUCUGUUCGUGAUGUGUGGACCGAUUAUCUUCUGUGUUGGGAAGUUUUUCGUCAAGGGAGAGCGAGCUAUGGCCUAUAUGCUUCUCGUCCUGUGCCUGACAUUAAGCGUAAUGUCUUAUGGGGGUGCGCUGCUUGUUCUGCUGCAGAUUAUCACUGACCAUGACUUCACACGGAGCGAGGCAUUACGGGCAAUUAUUAUAAUAGUCCAUAUCUGCGGUUGUAUCGUCGGCAUCGGCCUGACCGUUGCGUCGGUGCAGAAUCUCAGUAGACUGCCUAAAUUGUCCACUGCCGCGAUUCCAGUGGGCCCACCUGCAACGGAAGCCCCAAAAUAGGCUCGUGAUUGGAAACUUGGAAUAAUGCCGAACAGAUGAUCUUGUCACUGAAGCCGGGUCGGUUAAAAGACCGGACGACCAAUCAUAGAGACUCGUACAGAAAACAGAUUUUGUAUCUUUCAAUGCUACUUGGUCACUUUGACAAUGAGGUUCCGUGUUGAAAAGAAUGCUAUUGAAUUAUUUACACAGUAUUACGUACUUUACAAAAUUUCACGUUACUUCUAAGUGGAACAAUUUAUAUACGUUAAGCGUUGUAUUAUUAAAAAAUUAUGUUAAAUCAUUAUUAAAAAAUCGUGAUCCAAAAGAUCUUGGAACACUGCGACAAUGCAAAAGCUGGGAAUGCGGAGUCAAUUAUUGCUUGUGUAGCACGCUAUAAAGGUUGAAAAAGUUUGAUCG